rnacentral:rRNA from 1 species
UACAGAGGGGGCGAGCGUUGUUCGGAAUUACUGGGCGUAAAGGGCGCGUAGGCGGCCUUCUAAGUCGAACGUGAAAUCCCCGGGCUCAACCCGGGAACUGCGUCCGAUACUGGGAGGCUUGAAUCCGGGAGAGGGAUGUGGAAUUCCUGGUGUAGCGGUGGAAUGCGCAGAUAUCAGGAGGAACACCGAUGGCGAAGGCAGGUCACUGGGCCGCAACUGACGCUGAGGAGCGAAAGCAUGGGGAGCGAACAGG